rnacentral:lncRNA from 1 species
UUUGGAACUCCACAAAAGUCACACUACCAGCAACCUUAUAGAUUUGAAACGAGGCGGAACAAAUCUGCAAUAGAAUGAAAGAGGAGAGAAACUGGAACACAUAAAAUAGGGUUUAAUAUAACUGGUGGUAUAAUAAACGGAGAAGAGAGGAAAAAAAAAAAAAAAAAAAGAGAAGGGGGGAGGCUGCAGAAGACCGAGAAAGGUAAAGGGGGAUCUUUCCCUAGACUUCUGAUACCAUGUAGAGUUUAAUAAUUUCACCACACACAUGUGGACUCUCAUUCAUUGAAUAUAUAUAGGAUACAAAUACAAG